rnacentral:rRNA from 1 species
AUUAAACGCUGGCGGCAUGCCUUACACAUGCAAGUCGAACGGCAGCACGGGGGCAACCCUGGUGGCGAGUGGCGAACGGGUGAGUAAAGCAUCGGAACGUGCCCUGGAGUGGGGGGAUAACGUAGCGAAAGUUACGCUAAUACCGCAUAUUCUGUGAGCAGGAAAGCAGGGGAUCGCAAGACCUUGCGCUCUGGGAGCGGCCGAUGUCGGAUUAGCUAGUUGGUGGGGUAAAGGCCUACCAAGGCGACGAUCCGUAGCGGGUCUGAGAGGAUGAUCCGCCACACUGGGACUGAGACACGGCCCAGACUCCUACGGGAGGCAGCAGUGGGGAAUUUUGGACAAUGGGCGAAAGCCUGAUCCAGCCAUGCCGCGUGAGUGAAGAAGGCCUUCGGUUGUAAGACUCUUCGUCAAGGAAGAAGACUUAUCUCCUAAUACGAGU